rnacentral:rRNA from 1 species
UACGGAGGGUGCAAGCGUUAUCCGGAUUCACUGGGUUUAAAGGGUGCGUAGGAGGGCAGGUAAGUCAGUGGUGAAAUCUCCAAGCUUAACUUGGAAACUGCCGUUGAUACUAUCUGUCUUGAAUGUUGUGGAGGUGAGCGGAAUAUGUCAUGUAGCGGUGAAAUGCUUAGAUAUGGCAUAGAACACCAAUUGCGAAGGCAGCUCACUACACAAUUAUUGACUCUGAGGCACGAAAGCGUGGGGAUCAAACAGG